rnacentral:rRNA from 1 species
GACGAACGCUGGCGGCGUGCCUAAUACAUGCAAGUUGAGCGCUGAAGGUUGGUACUUGUACCAACUGGAUGAGCAGCGAACGGGUGAGUAACGCGUGGGGAAUCUGCCUUUGAGCGGGGGACAACAUUUGGAAACGAAUGCUAAUACCGCAUAAAAACUUUAAACACAAGUUUUAAGUUUGAAAGAUGCAAUUGCAUCACUCAAAGAUGAUCCCGCGUUGUAUUAGCUAGCUGGUGAGGUAAAGGCUCACCAAGGCGAUGAUACAUAGCCGACCUGAGAGGGUGAUCGGCCACGUUGGGACGGGGACACGGCCCAAGCUCCUGCGGGAGGCAGCAGUAGGGAAUCUUCGGCAAUGGACGAAAGUCUGACCGAGCAACGCCGCGGGAGUGAAGAAGGUUUUCGGAUCGUAAAACUCUGUUGGUAGAGAAGAACGUUGGUGAGAGUGGAAAGCUCAUCAAGUGACGGUAACUACCCAGAAAGGGACGGCUAACUACGUG